CCCACCGGCUCUGGAGGCUGACAGAGGCUCAGGGUCUCCGGGCACUCAAGACAUGAGUCGUGUCAUCAGACCCUCGGAAGGAUCCUGCCCUAUACCCAGAGGAAAGAAAUGGUGCACAGGAACUCCAAGAAGAGUGUACAAAGCCUUGCUAAGUUCUUCCAGUUUGUUACUAUGAGGUCAUACCCCCUUUUUGCCCAGUCACAUUUUUGCACAACUGCCCAUUCUUUAUUGAACAUAAGCCCACAAAUACACAACUUUCCCAUGGCGUUUGGGUCUCAUUUCUGAAAGCUCACGUACAACUUUGGUUAAAUAAAUUCGUUGCACUUUU